CGAGCUUGCUCGGAUGAGUAAAGUGGCGCACGGGUGAGUAACGCGUGGGUAACCUGCCCCUUGAAUCUGGGAUAACUUCGCGAAAGCGUUGCUAAUACUGGAUAUCGUCCUGUUAACUGUGGUCUUCAGGAUGAAAGGUGACCUCUUCAAGAAAGUUGCCGUUCAGGGAGGGGCCCGCGUACCAUUAGCUUGUUGGUAGGGUAAUGGCCUACCAAGGCGACGAUGGUUAGCUGGUCUGAGAGGAUGAUCAGCCACACUGGAACUGACACACGGUCCAGACUCCUACGGGAGGCAGCAGUGAGGAAUUUUGCGCAAUGGGGGAAACCCUGACGCAGCAACGCCGCGUGAGUGAAGAAGGCUUUCGGGUCGUAAAGCUCUGUCAAGUGGGAAAAAAUUUCUGUUGUGAAUAGCAACAGAACCUGAUGGUACCACUGGAGGAAGCACCGGCUAACUCCGUGCCAGCAGCCGCGGUAAUACGGAGGGUGCAAGCGUUGUUCGGAAUUACUGGGCGUAAAGAGCGUGUAGGCGUCUGGUAAGUCAGAUGUGAAAGCCCUGGGCUCAACCCAGGAAGUGCAUUUGAUACUGCCAUUCUUGAGUAUGGGAGAGGAGAGUGGAAUUCCCAGUGUAGAGGUGAAAUUCGUAGAUAUUGGGAGGAACACCCGUGGCGAAGGCGACUCUCUGGACCAAUACUGACGCUGAGACGCGAAAGCGUGGGGAGCAAACAGGAUUAGAUACCCUGGUAGUCCACGCCGUAAACGAUGAGAACUAGGUGUAGCGGGUAUUGACCCCUGCUGUGCCGAAGUUAACGCAUUAAGUUCUCCGCCUGGGGAGUACGGCCGCAAGGCUAAAACUCAAAGGAAUUGACGGGGACCCGCACAAGCGGUGGAGCAUGUGGUUUAAUUCGACGCAACGCGAAGAACCUUACCUGGAUUUGACAUCCUCUGACAGUCCCGGAAACGGGAUUUUUUCGACUUGUCGAAACAGAGUGACAGGUGCUGCAUGGCUGUCGUCAGCUCGUGUCGUGAGAUGUUGGGUUAAGUCCCGCAACGAGCGCAACCCCUGUUUUUAGUUGCCAAUAUUAAGUUAGGCACUCUAAAAAUACUGCCUCGGUUAACGGGGAGGAAGGUGGGGAUGACGUCAAGUCCUCAUGGCCUUUAUAUCCAGGGCUACACACGUGCUACAAUGGGCUGUACAAAGGGUCGCUAUUCCGCGAGGAGGAGCUAAUCCCAAAAAGCAGUUCUCAGUUCGGAUUGGAGUCUGCAACUCGACUCCAUGAAGGUGGAAUCGCUAGUAAUCGUGGAUCAGCAUGCCACGGUGAAUACGUUCCCGGGUCUUGUACACACCGCCCGUCACACCACGAAAGUCGACUGUACCAGAAGUUGCUGGGCUAACCCCUUUGGGGAGGUAGGUACCUAAGGUAC
rnacentral:rRNA from 1 species